rnacentral:rRNA from 1 species
UGCCAGCAGCCGCGGUAAUACAGAGGGUGCAAGCGUUAAUCGGACUUACUGGGCGUAAAGGGUGCGUAGGUGGAUAGUCAAGUUGUGUGAGAAAAACCCGGGCUUAACCUGGGCCUUGCAUGCAAAACUGGUUAUCUAGAGUAUGGUAGAGGGAAGUGGAAUUUCCGGUGUAGCGGUGAAAUGCGUAGAUAUCGGAAGGAACACCAGUGGCGAAGGCGACUUCCUGGACUAAUACUGACACUGAGGCACGAAAGCGUGGGGAGCAAACAGGAUUAGAUA